rfam:Felis catus isolate Cinnamon breed Abyssinian chromosome X, whole genome shotgun sequence.
UAGGGAGGACGGGGUUCGGAUCCCCUCCCCGAACCUAGGGUAACAUUGCAAGUGGAGGGGAC